AUGAAGCCUAGCGAUUGAAAGUUAGUGGCGGACGGAUGAGUAACGCGUGGGUAACCUGCCUCGUACUGGGGGACAACAGUUGGAAACGACUGCUAAUACCGCAUAAGCCCACGGUGCCGCAUGGCACAGAGGGAAAAGGAGCAAUCCGCUUUGAGAUGGCCUCGCGUCCGAUUAGCUAGUUGGUGAGGUAACGGCUCACCAAGGCGACGAUCAGUAGCCGGCCUGAGAGGGUGAACGGCCACAUUGGGACUGAGACACGGCCCAAACUCC
rnacentral:rRNA from 1 species